UGAGUUUGAUUCUGGCUCAGAACGAACGCUGGCGGCAGGCCUAACACAUGCAAGUUGAACGUGAAGCAUCUUCGGAUGUGGAAAGUAGCGCACGGGUGAGUAACACGUGGGAAUUUACACUUCAGUAAGGAACAACAGUUGGAAACGACUGCUAAUACCUUAUAAUGACUCCGGUCCAAAGAUUUAUCGCUGAAGGAUAAGCCCGCGUCUGAUUAGCUAGUUGGUGAGGUAAAGGCUCACCAAGGCGACGAUCAGUAGCUGGUUUGAGAGGAUGAUCAGCCACACUGGAACUGAGACACGGUCCAGACUCCUACGGGAGGCAGCAGUGAGGAAUAUUGGACAAUGGGCGAAAGCCUGAUCCAGCCAUGCCGCGUGAGUGAAGAAGGCCCUAGGGUUGUAAAGCUCUUUCAAUCGUGAAGAUAAUGACGGUAGCGAUAGAAGAAGCUCCGGCUAACUCCGUGCCAGCAGCCGCGGUAAUACGGGGGGAGCGAGCGUUGUUCGGAAUCACUGGGCGUAAAGCGUGCGCAGGCGGUUAGAUAAGUCAGACGUGAAAUCCCAGGGCUCAACCCUGGAACUGCGUUUGAAACUGUCUUACU
rnacentral:rRNA from 1 species